AGUAGAUAUAAUACAAAAGCAAAAUAUGAAUUGAUUUGAUACAUCACUUAUAGUAGUGCUUUAUUACUCUUAUACUAACGGAUCUCACGAAGGUUUUGUUGAGUUUUGUAUGAUUGAAGUUUUCAUGUUUUGGGUUAUCUUAUGAUGGAUGAAGGAAGGAUGUAAGAUCCUAAGCUUGAGAUUUCUCAAGCAUCCCAAGCUAUUGUCCAAGAAUGAGCAUCCAACUAAGCUUGGGGACGCCCCCGAGUGGCAUCCCCGCUUUCUUCCAACAACUAUUGCCUCACCGCCGUACACCUCACCGGAGCUGCUCCAAUGAGGGAACCGUCCAUCACAGCGGAGCAGUACCCUCGGCACCGUUUCCAGAGGCAUUGGAUCUUCCUCCCUGCCUCCGACAGUCACACCAGCAUCACCAUCCUCCACGUCCAACCCAAUGAUGCUGAGGUCGACAAGGCUAUGCCAAAGAGAUAGGCAUCAAAGAAAACUAUGUGUGUUAUGUCCUGCUCUUGCCGUGCCGUCAUUCACCCCACCUGAGGUGCAUCAUCGACAAAAGCGUUCACUACAGCAGAGAUUCCCCUUGUAGACUUUCUUUCGCUGCCUUAGAUCAUCUUCAUCAUUGCCGGCAGCCACGCCAACUGCAUUACCAUCAUCCACUGAGAAGAUUAACCUGAGGACUACACAAUUCCGGAAGAGAGGUCACAGUCUUUCGUGUUUGCUUACGUUAUACACCGGUUAUUAUUACCUGCUAUUUUAUCGUUCAAAGUUGAGUUUUAAAAUGCUUGUGGGUCUCAUAUCGAGGCAGUAAUGAAUAGUAUAUGUCUACUGUCUGGUUCAUGUUGAGUGGGCAACAAACAGUGGAUGAUCCAUUGUCUAUCUUUUUAAACUGAAGCUAUAAUCUACCUGCUAUCAUUAGUUUUGGGUCUA